rnacentral:rRNA from 1 species
CGUAGCUGGUCUGAGAGGACGAUCAGCCACACUGGGACUGAGACACGGCCCAGACUCCUACGGGAGGCAGCAGUGGGGAAUCUUGUCCAAUGGGCGAAAGCCUGAGACAGCGACGCCGCGUGCGGGAAGAAGGCCUUCGGGUUGUAAACCGCUUUCAGGAGGGACGAAGCCACUCGGGUUAAUAGCCCAGAGGGUGACGGUACCUCCAGAAGAAGCCCCGGCUAACUACGUGCCAGCAGCCGCGGUAAUACGUAGGGGGCAAGCGUUGUCCGGAUUUAUUGGGCGUAAAGAGCGUGUAGGCGGCUAGAUAGGUCCGUUGUGAAAACUCGAGGCUCAACCUCGAGACGUCGAUGGAAACCAUCUGGCUAGAGUCCGGAAGAGGAGAGUGGAAUUCCUGGUGUAGCGGUGAAAUGCGCAGAUAUCAGGAAGAACACCCGUGGCGAAGGCGGCUCUCUGGGACGUGACUGACGCUGAGACGCGAAAGCGUGGGGAGCGAACAGGAUUAGAUACCCUGGUAGUCCACGCUGUAAACGAUGGGUGCUAGGUGUGGGGGGUGUCGACUCCCCCCGUGCCGAAGCUAACGCAUUAAGCACCCCGCCUGGGGAGUACGGCCGCAAGGCUAAAACUCAAAGGAAUUGACG